ACAAGUUUGAGAUAUUUAUUAUUUAUACAUGAUUUAACCUCAUUCCCGCCAGACCCAAACCUAUGAUCUAACCAAAGAUCCAAUUCUCUCUGUUUUGACUCUCAAUUGUCUCUCUCAAACUCUAGAUCCAAUUCAAUUUUGAAAUCAAACCCGAGAUUCUGUAAAUUUCUCCUUUCACCUCUUGAGUCGAUUUCAAAUCAUAAGAUGGUGGUUGAAACAAGGCGGAUAAGAAAAAAGAGAAUCCCACAAAAAAAAGUGGAGAAGAAGAAUGCAAACAAUGAAGAAGAAUCACGAGAUGGUGAUUCAGAUACAUAUGUUGAUGGUGGAGAAGAUCCACUGAAUCAUAGCACGUAGAGGUAAAAAAUUAGGAAUGAAAUGUGAUUUGUAGUUUCUAUUGGCAUUUUCAUUGUUUUGUGCAAGGGAAAGGUGUGUAGAACUAAGAACAGUGGGUAACACUAUCAGUAAUACUAGUAAAACCUUGGAACAUUAGAGAGUAUUGGAAUACCUUGGCAAAACUAUAUUGUAUUACUCGUAUAACUGAGGUAAAGUAAAUGUUACUUGCAGGAUUUUGAGGCAACUAAGGUAAUCAAACAAGAUAGGAUGUUCUUCUAUCUAACGUUUUACAAGAAACAGAUAAAGUUGGAGACAAGGUGUUUCAUAGUAGACGCUAUUGAGACGCUUGAGAAGCUGAAACCGGAGCUCACUGUUUUGGAGAGGAGCUUGUUUGAGGAGCGCAUCCUCAAUUCAGACAUUUUUGCCACGUGAAAAAGACUCAAACCACAAAGUCCAGAAAAUGUGGAUUCUUUUGUUGCGGACUGCCAAUAACUCGAAGCGAAAAGAAGUGUGGUUCAUUUUCAAUGGCUAUUACAUUAAAAAUGAAGCGUAUGAUAUAAAAAUUAGCAAUUCAACUAGCCAUUACAUUUUCUAAUACAAAAAACGAGGAUGUUAAUUCACAUGAGAUAAAAUUUAUAAAAUGAUGAAUCUUAUAAGCUUCCAUAUCAAACAUUCGCUUUUCAUAGAUGUUGAUGACAAAAUUGGUACUAUAUCUCUCUCUUUUUAGAACCAAUCUUUCAUAUGGUCUGUAUGAUCAUAGACUAAAGAACCAAUUCAUUUAAUAUUUUAACAGAAUUUAUUGUUUGUAUUUGGACCAAACAAUUAAAUUUUUUUUUUUUUAUGAAAUCUAUUUUUAAAUAAGCAUAAGAUUGGUUGCUUUCUAUAUUUGAACCAAAAAUAAUCAUCAAAUCAUCUAUAAUUAUAAUAUUGCUUUUAAACAAUACGAAUGAACCAAACAUAUUUAGAAGGCCUAUAAUCACAGAAUAUUUAAUACAAAAUCAUUUUUACAGGUUUAAAAGAAAGUAUUUACAACCGAUCAAUUUAAUCUCUACCAAAAUUUUCUUGGUAUCUAGAUAUUCUAAGCGUAUACCAGAAUAAUAUUUAUCAUAUUAACUGAAAUUAGGUCUGGCAAACGGGUCCUAAACGGGUUCCAUUCAGGUUCAUUCGGAUUUCGGAUUUUUGGGUUUAUGAAUUUUAGCCCCAUUCGGAUAAUAUAAAAGUUUGGGUCGGAUUUGGUUCAGGUUUAGUCGGGUUCGAUUUGGGUUUAGUUACAUGUCUAAGAUCCGGUUGAACCCAAAAUAGUUUUGGUUUCGGAUAUUAAUCAGGUUACCAGCUCCAAAAAUAUUGAUUUGCACUUGAUGUAACUCAAUAUAUUUCCAAUAUUUUCAAUAAAUUUGUGUGUAAGGCUUCCUCAAACCAUAUUGUUGUCCUCAAACCAUAUUAUAUAUUGUCCUUGGACUAUAUGUGACAAUUGACAUAUCAUGACAAGUAAACCUUGUACGAUGAGAAUCAUACAAUACAUAAUGAAACCUAAACAAAUUAGAAUUAACAAUUAACAACUAACAACUCUAUAACCAUAAAAACACUUUAAAGAACAACAUUGUUUAAACUUCAGAAGCAAACUUAUUUAUAAUUGAACUGUAAAUGCGAUUGUCAAAAUAUAGAAACACCAAUAUUGACCAAAUACCAAAACUAUAUAUAUAUAUAUAUAUAUAUAUUAAAAUAAGAAUAUGUGUUGAUUAGUCAUGUAAUAUACAAUUAUCUUAGGUACAAUAAUAUCUUAGUGUAUUUUGGAUACAUAUUAAUGACUAAGAUUGGGUAUGGUAUAAGUUCUUUUAGGAAUUUUGAAUUUUUCAGAUUUUCAGAUAUCUAUUUGGGUUCAGUUUGGAUAAAACUCAUAACCCAAAAUACCGUUAAACAAAAUCAAUUCAGCAUUUAUGUCGAGUUCGAAUCAGUUUGGAUUCAUUUUUAUCGGAUCAGAUUCGAUUCAGAUUUUCGGUUUUGGUUUAUUUGUCCAACCUUAAUUGAAAUCAUAAAAGAAAAUGUAAUAUAUUAAAAUUCUGAAAGUAGCACCAUUUUUUAUAUACUAUAAUGCAAGUCGUCUGGCAAAUCAGAGACUGACAUGUGGAAAAUGAGUUAAUAAAAUUAUGAGAAAAAUUAUUUAAACAAAAUAAUGUUUCAAACAGAAUUAAAAAAACAGGAACCGUAUAACAGUUUUAUUUAAGACAACCCAUGCUUCUUUUCUUUGUCCACGAUCCUUUUUUCAUACUCUAUAAUCUCUUAUAUUCGUUAAACAAACAAUAGAGAAAUUCCCAACUGAUUUGAAACAGAGAAUAUCAAACUCAUUUGAUCCUUCUUUAAUCUAAAAUCCCUUAAUUCAUAAUUGGGGCACUACAUAUAAAAUGUCACGACUCACGAGCCAAUGCAGAGUUCGAUUUCUAUUUAAUUGGAUCUUCUUCUUUUUGACAUUAUGUAACUGGAUCUUAACAACCUAUAUUUUCCAGUAACACUAUCUCCCUUCUUUGUACAUAUUUGUUAACUUCAACAGAGCACUACAUGGACAAGAAGAUUUCUUGAAAAAGUGGACAUGGUGGAUAUGAUUUGCAGGAGGUUCAACCAAAAAAGGAGACUAUAGGACAGAAAAAGAGAGAAAGAAGAGGAAGAUAGGAAACAUACGAAACAUGCAAACGUGGUAAUUGAAAAAAGGUAAAUGCGUUUUUAUUAAUUCACCACGAAAUGAUCAGAUUGAUAAAUUGUUUUCCUAUUGGUUUAUGCAUGGUCAUAGGGGCGAGAGGAAUAUGAAGUCUUGGAGAUGGAAACACCGCUGACAUGGGAAGGUUAAUUCAAUUCUAAGACAAAAUUAACAUAGGUAUAUUAUAUGGCAACUAUAUUUUGUAUUAUUGCAGUGUUUUUUUUUUGCUUAAUAUUACUGCAGUAUUGCAAUACACAAUUUGUUUUUUUUUAAUGUUUGAUAUAACAAUACACAUGCAAUGAUAAAUAGGUUAUUUUCACUCUAUUGCAUCAAUGAGAGAAUCAAAUUCGUCAACGAUUUUGUUGGAGUCUUUGUUCUUGAAAAUAUAUAUACAUGUCACUUUUUAGUUAUAGAUAAAGUAGCUUUUUGUCUGGAAAAAACGCCAUGUGUCGUCUUUUCAUUCGCUGUUAUUUACGAAUUGGGCUUUGUUUACUAAACCGUAUUCUGUGUUUUCUUUCGGGCCUAUCUCUAAAUAUAAUGCAUUGAGGCCCGAAAUCGCAUGUCGUCGUCUAGGUCGUAUCUUCAUCUUACGGCCGCCACUUUUUCCGAGAUGAAAGUCGAUGAUAACGCCAUGGACGUUACAACGUUUCAUCUUGCUCACGUUACAACGUUUCAUCUUGCUCUUCUUUACUUACUGUUAAUUCGUGAUUUCCCCACUCCUCAGCAUUCAAUCCGACUCCUUCUCUUCCCGUAGGUACUCACUAGAGCUUCGGGUAUAAAUACCUCCUCAUCCAGACAUGAGCAUCACAACUUCAACGAGAACCAGAAGAUCACUCUGUUCAAUUUCCGGUUAUUACAAUGGCGAAUUCCCAAGUCCUUCUUGCUGAUUUGAAAGCAGGACACUGCUCCAACGUUGCGGAGGUCUGGUUGCUGCGAUUCUGGGAAGCCAGAAAUGUGAGGAAAGGCGGUGAACUGACGAUUGUUAACAUGCUCUUUGUCGAUGAGAAUAGUUCAAGGAAAGGUUUGCUUGUGUCCUACCCGCAUCGAGCUUUUACCAACGUAAUGCGGUGAACAAGGUUAGAUUUCAAGUGUGAUUAGUUUGUAUUGAUCUUUUCCUCAUUUAAAAUGAACUCCGUGACUUUAUUAAAAAGCAGAAAGAAGCAGCUUUAUAAAGGUUUUUAGUAUGUAUACUAGAAUAAGGGUGGAUAGGAGAAGUAAGAUUGGAGAAUAUUAGUUGAUUUUCAGACUUAAUUUUGUUUGGAUGUUGCUUUUAAAUGACCAAACCAGAGACUUAAGACAUGUAUGUGUGCCAUCAUGAUGCUCUGAUUGUGUUACGGCCCGUAAGUUUUCAUUUCUUUUUUUUGUUAGUUAAACACGUGAAAGCUAAAUGUUAAUAAGUUCGAUUUAGAGUUGUAAACAAAAUUCAAAGUUAUAAUAUUCCAUAUAGUUGUAUAGGCUAUUGACUUUUAAAUAUUCCCUCGGUUACAGCAUUGAAGACGUUCACCCAAACGGUGGAAUCAAGAAAUUCAAAUCUUCUGUCUACUCCAACUUUGUAUUUUCCUUUCGUCUAAGAUCAAAACUGGUUCCCCAAUCCAAUCGUUCUCAAAGUCAUGCGCUCAUACAACAAGAUGAGAUGAAUUUGUCUGCAAAUCGGUUUCAAAGGUUACGAGAAGUAGCUCGAGGUCAUCUUUCAAGACUCCAAGGGAUUUGGUCUCUGUGCUCUGAUCAAGUCGCAGUUGGACUAAAAACUCACUCCUGCUGCAUGUGCGAUCGUGCUCUGAGUCCUUUUUCUUUGUCUACCCCCAUCAAGACUUCUUCAUCUUCACAUCUGAGUGAGAGCGGGAGCAAGGCUGCAGACCCAGUUGGGACAUCACCAGAGCCUACAACUAAGAAGCCAAUGAGGUGUACCAAUCUUGAGUAGACGUUAUAGUGGCUCUCAAUUAUCGUUCAGCCCAGCUGUCAUCUAUCAUAUUUUCAUAGUUUCUGCUUCCAGUUUUACAAUUGUAAGGCUUAUUAGGUCUCUGUCUAUGCAAAUAUUUGGGCUUUGAUAUUUUAAAAUUAAACACUUAUACA